GCCGGUUGCCAUGACGACGCCUGCGAAGAUGGCUGCUGCCGCUUCAUCCGAUUGCGACGGCGGCCGAGCUGAGAGCUCCGCGCCCAGCGCCGGCACUGAAGCCAGUUCGAAGUGGCUGGACGCGCACGACGACCCCACGGCCAACAUCCACACCUUCUCCGCCUGCCUGGCGCUGGCGGACCUGCACGGCGACGGGGAGUACAAGCUGGUGGUGGGCGACCUGGGCCCCGGCGCGCGGCAGCCCCGCCUGAAGGUGCUCAAAGGGCCUGCAGUGCUGACGGAAAGCCCGCUCCCCGCCCUGCCGGCCGCCGCCGCCACCUUCCUCAUGGAGCAGCACGAGCCCCGGGCGCCAGCCCUGGCCCUCGCUUCGGGCCCUUGCGUCUACGUGUAUAAGAACCUCAGACCCUACUUCAAGUUCAGCCUGCCCCCGUUGCCUCUAAACCCCGUGGAACAAGAUCUCUGGAGUCAAGCCAAGGAGGACCAGAUUGACCCCUUAACCCUGAAGGAGAUGCUGGAGGGCAUCCGGGAGAAAGCAGAAGUGCCUUUGUCUGUGCAGUCACUCAGGUUUCUGCAGCUGGAGCUGAGUGAAAUGGAAGCAUUCGUGAACCAGCACAAGUCCAAGUCCAUCAAACGGCAGACGGUCAUCACCACCAUGACCACCUUGAAGAAGAACCUGGCUGAUGAGGACGCCGUGUCCUGCCUGGUGCUGGGCACUGAGAACAAGGAGCUCCUGGUGCUUGACCCCGAGGCCUUCACCGUCUUGGCCAAGAUGAACCUUCCCAGCGUGCCCGUCUUCCUGGAGGUUUCCGGCCAGUUUGAUGUCGAGUUCCGGCUUGCCGCCGCCUGCCGCGACGGAAACAUCUAUAUCCUGAGAAGAGACUCCAAGCGCCCCAGGUACUGCAUCGAGCUGAGCGCCCAGCCCGUGGGCCUUGUGCGAGUUCACAAAGUCUUCGUGGUGGGCACCACCCAAGACAGCCUGAACGGCUUCACCCACAAGGGUAAGAGGCUGUGGACGGUGCAGAUGCCCGCAGCCAUCCUGACCAUGAACCUCCUGGAACAGCGUUCCCGGGGCCUGCAGGCCGUCAUGGCCGGGCUGGCCAACGGCGAGGUCCGCAUCUACCGUGACAAGGCCCUGCUCAACGUCAUCCGUGCCCCGGAUGCAGUGACCAGUCUUUGCUUUGGCCGCUACGGGCGGGAAGACAACACCCUCAUCAUGACCACUCGAGGCGGCGGCCUGAUUAUCAAGAUCCUCAAGCGCACGGCAGUGUUUGUGGAGGGGGCAGGGGAGGCGGGCCCCCCGCCAGCCCAGGCCACGAAGCUCAGCGUGCCCCGGAAGACCCGGCUCUAUGUGGAUCAGACACUGCGAGAGCGGGAGGCUGGCACCGCCAUGCACCGGGCCUUCCAGACGGACCUCUACCUGCUGCGCCUCCGGGCGGCUCGCGCUUACGUGCAGGCCCUGGAGUCCAGCCUGAGCCCUGUGUCUGCCACAGCCCGGGAACCGCUCAAGCUGCUUGCUGUGGUCCAGGGCCUGGGCCCCACCUUUAAGCUCACGCUCCACCUGCAGAACACCUCGACAGCGCGACCCAUCGUGGGGCUGCUGGUCUGCUUCCUGUACGACGAGAUGCUCUACGCCCUGCCCCGGGCCUUCUUCAAGGUCCCCUUGCUGGUGCCAGGGCUCAGCUAUCCCCUGGAGACCUUCGUGGAGAGCCUCAGUAGCAAGGGCAUCUCAGACAUCAUCAAGGUGCUGGUGCUUCGAGAAGGCCAGAGCACGCCGCUGCUGAGUGCCCACAUCAACAUGCCUGUGAGUGAGGGCCUGGCGGCCGCCUGAGCCCCAGACUGAUGGUGGAGCCUGUGUGGAAUCCGAGCCAGCCAGACCCAGCCACUGCCACGGGCCGGGCAGGUCCAGGAGCGCCAGGCCCACUCCCCACGCCCCUGCUCCUGGUCACAGCAGCUCCGUGUGUACCCAGGAAGCUCGGCUCAUGUUCCCGCGGCCCUCCCAGGCUGUGUGCCACGGGCUCCUGCUGCCUGGCCCUCCUGACCCUUCCAGAAACCGCGCCCAGGUGCCCAGGAGGAGCCUGAAGUGGUCACUGUGCGAUCAGGAGCGGCCGGCCCUUCUUCGCCACUUUCCUCAGGCGCACCGACGGCCACGGCCGACGCUGGGGAGGGUCUGGCCUGGGAGGUCGGAGGCUUUUCUAGCAUGAGACUGGGCCCCCUUGUCACUCGAGGUUCACGAUCUCCCCACCCCCGCUGAGCAGGAUCCCUUCACUUCCCCCAUCAGAGGCCCCAGGGGUAGCUCUGCCCCAGGGCUGUUCUGCAGCUGGGUUCAGGCCUGUCCGCCAGGGGCACAGGUGCCCGACCCCCGGGCUCCUGACCUGGAUGCCUGUGCCCAGAAAGAGCACCGAGGGAGACGGAGGCCACGCUGGACAGAGCCGCAGGGGCCAGGGCAUUGAGGAGGGGCGCUUCUGUGGCCUGGAGGGUGGCGCGUGGGCGGAGCCCGGGAGCCGGGGAGCCCGGGAGCCCGGGAGCCCGGGAGCCCGGAUCGCUCCUGAGGUGGAAGGUUCCCUGGGCAGCAGCCACGGUGAGAAUUAGAGGAAAGGCCCAGCCCAGAGGACUCAGGUGAGGCCGAGGAUGGGAUGAAGGCCUCUGUGUGGACCCAAAGGGCCAGAGGCCCACGGUCCAAGCCCCUGGCCAGUCUGUGUGGGCCUCGUCCCAGGCCUCCUGGGCCACCUGGGAGCUGAGGACCUGUGUCUUCUCCGAGCAGGGUGGCCGGGAAUGCGGCAGGAAGUAACCCAGUGUCUGUGGGCCCCACUUCCCCACGUGUAAAGUGAGGCGGCUGGACCGGAUUGAUCUAAGCCCGCUUUGGCCCUGUGCCGGUGAGCUCGCGCCCUGCCGGAGAGCGGGCGACUCCGGAAAGGCGACACCCGGCUGGGGGGGGCGGGGGCGGACUCCACAGCUGCCACUGCCCUGGACCCAGGACUCGAGUGACAGCCCACGUCCCCCCCAUGCCCUGCUCAGCAGAGAUGGAAGGUGAAGGCCCGGCGGCCGGAGCCGUGUGAGCAGGGGCGGGGCAGGUCAUGUGUGGAGCCGAAGGCCCUACGGUCCCUUUCACCCCAGCCACGCUGUGAACCACGUGACCCGGACCUGUCUCUUCUGGGUUCUCUCGUGGCUUUUCAUACUGCGGAAGGGGGAGACCGCGCCCGGCACUACAGUGGGUUUCCAGGGCGUGCCGUGUGCUGAUUGUUCGGACGUGGGACCGCCCACAUGGGCAGGCCGAUACAGAGCAGCGCAGGCGCCCGGCACUACAGUGGGUUUCCAGGGCGUGCUGGGUGCUGAUUGUUCAGAAGUGGGACUGGCCCACGUGGGCAGGCCGAUACAGAGCAGCGCAAGUGCCCAGCGCGGGCCCGUGAGAGCUCCAGGACGUUGGGCGCGUUGAGGAUGAAGAGCGGUGGCCUCUUCAGAAAAAGCAUCCGUUUGGUAAUGAGUUAGCAGCCCCUCCUCCCUGCAGCGGCCCGGGCUGCCCUUCGAGCCAGUGAUGUUUAAGGUGCGCCCUGCUCCUGCGUGGCAGCCCCUGGCCUUGCUCGGACGCCCUGUGGGGUAGAGGAGGGUCUCGCUGUCCUGUGACUGUGCCCCCCCAGUCUCCAGGGAAUCCGCACUCACUGUUCAGGUUACUGUGGGGCUCGCUGCGCAGCCAGGAGCUGGGCUUGCAUUAAAUCAUUUUUUCUGCAGAGGGAGUAAUCACUUUGGUUUUUCCGGCGCUUGGUUUCCCAGUGUGCCAGUGGCGAACUCUCCCUCCCGCCCUGCACCCUGAGCACGUCGGCUCCCGGGAGAUUUCGCUGGGCCCCGUGCCCAGGCCCCUCUCUCCGAGCUCCGUGCCUGCCCCAUUGAGUGAGAUCUGUCCGUGGGUCCCCCCUUUAGCUCAGUCGCUGGAGGUAACACUUUGAAGACGCUGCCUGUCCGGCUGGGCCACAGAAUCCCCAGGUGGAAUUGGCGUCCUUGCAGGCAGUGCUCCCUUGUCCUCCAGCCUCGGAAGGUCACGCCGGGCUGAGUGCUCACCUCCGGAGAAGCGCGGCAUCACCGCCGCCUCCCCGCGUGCCGUGUGUGGUGCGCUGGGUGGGCCCUGCCGCCUUCCGUUGGGUGCCGCUGUUUCUUGAGCCAUCUCCUCUCUGCUUUCUGUCUCCUGGGAAUUCGGUGAAGCCCAGCCUCUAAGUGGUGAUGCCAGAGAGGACGGGUUGCGCCUGAUGCUCCUCUCAUCUCUCAUUUCCUCCCUGUCUCCUGGGGAGAGUUUGAGCUCUUUCAGCUCUUUGGAUUAUUACAAAAUUUUCGGUUAUCAUUUUAAUUCUCAACUCUGUUUGGUCCUUACUUUCAGUAUGUUUUUAAAGAUAUAUUUCUUGUAUCUCUCUCUCUCUCUUUUUUUGGACAGAUAGAGUGAGAGAGACAGAGAGAAAGUUCUUCCUUCCGUUGGUUCACCCCCCAAUGGCCGCUGCAGCUGGCACACUGCGCUGAUCUGAAGCCAGGAGCCAGGUGCUUCCUCCUGGUCUCCAUGCGGGUGCAGGGCCCAAGCACUUGGGCCAUCCUCCACUGCCUUCCCGGGCCACAGCAGAGAGCUGGCCUGGAAGAGGAGCAACCAGGACUGGAACCCGGUGCCCAUAUGGGAUGACAGCACCGCAGGCGGAGGAUUAACCAAGAAAGAAAAAAAAAAAGAUCCCCACUGAUAACAAAUUCCAAGGAACUCAGUCAAAACAGACAGUGGCAAGAAAAUGAGACAUCACAAUCAAGACCCUAGGACUCAGAUCCUCAGAUACUGGAACUACCAAACACAGAAUACGGACUAUGCUUUCAGUAUAAAUUAAAUAAAUAAACAAACAAGAAACCUAAUAUCUAAGUAAAGAGCAAGCGGGUAUAUAAAAUGGUGAAGCCAGGGGCCAGCACCGUGGCACAGUGGGUCAAGCCAGGUCAAGCCAGGGGCCGGUGCCGUGGCACAGCAGGUAAAGCCACUGCCUGAAGCGUGGCAUCCCACGUAGGUGCUGGUUUGAUAACCAGUGCUUGACCUCUGAUCCAGCUCUCUGCUAAUGGCCUGGGAAAGCAGUGGAAGAUGGUCCCAAGUGCUUGCGCCCCUGCACCCACGUGGGAGAACUGGAAGAAGCUCCUGGCUCCUGGCUUCAGAUCAGCUCAGCUCGGGCUGUUGCAGCCAUUUGGGGAGUGAACCAGUGGAUGGAAGACCUCUGUCUGCCGCUGCCUCUGUAAC